AUACCUUCCUAAGCCCGCCUGGUCUGGCCUGAACCCUGGUGUCACCUCUUUUCCAUCAUCUAUCCUCACAGUGUCCAAACGAAACCCCAAAACAUUCUCUUUAUGAGAUCCUUCGGCACAGUGUUGGAGAGCUUCAGACCAUGUACAGGAGAAACCAGGGAGGAAAGGCUGCCGUUCUCCCCAGUGGCCGCAGCCUUAAUUGGGAUGACGGUUAGUGUUGGCCCCUGUGUGUUGGAUGGAAAGCUUCAGGCUUGAGUGAACAGAUGUCUCUGGGAAGCAAAGGUGACAGACGUUUGUGCAGUUACUCAUCCCUAAAUAGGCCCGAGAGGACUGGAGUCUGAAUGAAAGAUGACCCGGGUGCACAACAGGAAGAGAUUGAUAGGAGGAUAAAAGCGGUGUAUAGGUUUUCAGGUACGCAAGUCUACGGGGAACCUCAUUCACACAUUAACAGGAUAUCCUGGGGGAAGUGAGAAACUACUGUGAAGGCACCCACCCUGAACACACAUGGGAAUCAUCACCAUCUGCAAUGAAGACAAACUGAUUAUCUUGUUAGACAGCCCUGCAGCCAUUCAGGGUAUGAUUAUGUAUUAAGAAACUACACGAAAAAAGACAGACACUCUUUUGGAAUAAUAAACACACCAGUGUCAACAUGUGAAUCAACUACACACAGCAUGUGCAUCAUGGACGAGUUUAAUGCAUAUUUAACAUACUGGGAGUGCUGUAUAUCAUUCACACAUCACUGGUCUUGAUGCUGGAUCACUAAAUGCUCCAUUGCUUCCUCUGUGGAAUGUUUCCUGGAAGAGACUUCUAGUAGAUAUAUACUCUGAGAAAAAAAAGCUUAAUCAUUUGAAAUGCAUGGCAAGUAGGGCUGCACAAUUUGAGGGGGAAAUGUAAAUGUGAUUUUUCUAAUUAAAAUGAUUGAGAUUUAAAAUGUGAUACAAAUAUUAAAAUAAGUAAUAAUACUAUUGUAAUGAAAAUGUCACUGUAAAAUACAAAAAGUUGAGUAUUAAAAACUGCAGGGAGGUUUAUGAUUGCUUCUUAUUAAAAAUCUGGUGAAAUGGAUGUUGUAAGUGACCCAAACUCAAAGCAGAUGCAGAGAUGGAGUUCAUAUGAGACACUAAAAACUCCAGAUAAUGGGCUGCAUGGAUGUAAAUGAACACAGUGCUAUGCUUGUAAAUAUGUAUUUAAAUAAAUUAAAAAACUGGGUUUAGGCUUUGUUUUUCUAUUGUAGGGUUGGCGAACGCCAGUCCUGGAGAGCCG